CCUACGGGGGGCAGCAGUGGGGAAUAUUGGACAAUGGGCGAAAGCCUGAUCCAGCCAUGCCGCGUGUGUGAAGAAGGCCUUCGGGUUGUAAAGCACUUUCAGUGGGGAAGAAAGCCUUGGGGCUAAUACCCUCGAGGAAGGACAUCACCCACAGAAGAAGCACCGGCUAACUCCGUGCCAGCAGCCGCGGUAAUACGGAGGGUGCGAGCGUUAAUCGGAAUUACUGGGCGUAAAGCGCGCGUAGGCGGUCUGAUAAGCCGGUUGCGAAAGCCCCGGGCUCAACCUGGGAACGGCAUCCGGAACUGUCAGGCUAGAGUGCAGGAGAGGAAGGUAGAAUUCCCGGUGUAGCGGUGAAAUGCGUAGAGAUCGGGAGGAAUACCAGUGGCGAAGGCGGCCUUCUGGACUGACACUGACGCUGAGGUGCGAAAGCGUGGGUAGCAAACAGGAUUAGAUACCCGAGUAGUC
rnacentral:rRNA from 1 species